CUUUAACCGUCUCAUUUGAAGCUGCCCAUCCCCACAUAGCUGAGCUCCCAGCAUGACUGGGGCAGUAAGACAACCCUGUUAGGACUAAAAAGCCAUUUCUGCAUCUCGAAGACACAGAUGCAACCCCAGUCUGGCAUUCAAGAGCGUAACUUUAUCAGUGGAGUCUUUACAUUUCUGAAUCAGACAUUAAAGGUGGUGGGACUCACACUGGCAUGGAAAUCCUGCUUCUAUGCUCCCGUGUGUAAAACCUUGGAUCAGAGGCUGUACUCAUUCAUUCAUUCAUUCAUUCACUCAUUCACUCCAUUUAGUGAACAAACUUUUUCUGACUACCAUCUGUGCCACAAGCACAAGGAAUGUUAGAGUUGAAAAACCAAGCCCUUGCCCUUCGGGAGUUUGAUGUUGAGAGGGGGAAAAUAGACACGAAACAGACAUUUCAAGGAGCAGCGCCACGUAGGGACUGUGUAAGGUGACGCAGAAGUGUAGAGAAGGAGCACCUGCUUCGUUCCCAGGGGUGAGGACAGGAAACACGUCCAGGAAGAGGUGGCCUUCAAGCUGAGCCUGGAGGGGUGGGUGGACAGGUGCAACGAUGGGGUUCCUGCAGGAGGACCGGCAAGAGUGAACGCAGGGAGGAUGGAGAUGCACGUCCUGCUGGAAGAACCACGGAGAGUGCAGUUCCAGAGAAGAGACUCUGCACAGCGAGGCCCAGAUGGUGUGGGGCCUGUGCGCCAGCAGAGGGGGUCCCACUGCAGCACGAUGGCAAGAAGGAGCUUUGGAAGGAUUUCAACCAGGGUUGUGACAAGGAGAGAGUAAGCCUCGGCAAAGGAAAGUCACUUGCCCAAGGACACCAAGUCAUUUUGGUCAGGGCCAGGUCCACCGCCGAGAUCCUCGCUGCUCAUCAUGGUGUCUCAGGAGCAGCAACAUCAGCAUCACCCGGGAGCUGGCUCCUCUGGGCUGUGAUGCUUUCUCAGACUCUCCUGGUGUUGGAUGACCUUGCCAGUUUUGAGCGGUCAGCUCUGGGACGUAGGGAGCGUUAUCCCUCCUUUGCAGGAAUGGAUCAGAAAGGAGAGGCGAUUUGCCAAGUGAGUGAAGGCUGGAGCCAGUAUCUGAGUCAUCAUCUGCCUGUUCCAAAGCCUUUGCCACCUAUACUGAGGUGUCAUAUUACAAACUGGGGCAAUCCCUCCAGGCUUUAAAUUUGAGGAAUUCAAGAGGUUCCAAAGAGAGAAGAACAGAGACAGAGAGCUGAGCGGAGUCACCCAGAGGGCAGAAGGAGCUGGAGCCAGAGCAGCAGGGACUCACCUGUGGAGGCUGGAGUUCCAAAUUACUGUUGGAUCAGACUCUCCAGUUCAUCAGCUCCUGACAUCCAGUGUUUAGCAGGGGAGGAACCCACAGAAUGAUGGAUAGCCACCAAUUAAUUUCCAUCCUGAUGGACGUGGAGCCAUCUACAACGCCAUUAAGAGGACUACGCUUGCCAAGGGAGAGGCAGGCAAACAGAGAUGAAUAUUUUUAUGAUCCAACUCUGAGUAAAUUCAUUUGAGGGCCUGUUUAGCUCCAGGUAGAGCUUUAAUGAACUACUCUGAAAGACCCAAGCACUCAUAAGACAAAGCAACGGACAUGCAUUGAGUUCCCAGUCCUACCGUCUAACCGAGAUAUGACUAUGGAUCUGCUACUUGAUCUUUCUGAGCUCCAUCUGUAAAACACAGAGAAAAACAAUACCAGCAUCACACAACAGGAGUCACCCUGGAGACAAAUGAAAGGAAACUGAAUGUGGAAUGGGGGGAGAGAAGGAUUUCUGUGGAGGAUCUGGGUAACUUCGGGAUCGUUCCGAGAGAUGAUCAUUUCACAGCAGGCUUAGCAGACAGUCUUCGGAUGGAAGCUCUCAAGAGCAAGCCCAGAAAGUUUCUGGAGGGUCAAAGCUAUGAUCUGGAGGGAAAUGGAAGUAUCUACUUAACGUCUGCAAUGUGCCAGGUAAACGCUCCUGCUUUGCUGUCAUUGCCGCAUUUAAUUCUUACAGCAGUACUGUCAGGUCAGCAUCAUUAUCCUUGUUUCAGGGAGGAGGAAACUGAAGCUCAGAGAGGUGCAGAAACUUACCCAAGUCACAUAGCUUCCAAGUGGUGGAGACUGGAUUCCCACUUGGCUCUAGCAGAGUCCUAAGUCCCUAUUACGUCCAGGUACUUUGAGGGAGUAGCAUGGAAUAAGAUUAAGACUUGGCCCUUCCUCUCCAAUUGCUCACAGUCAAACAAGGAUGAUCAGGAAUGCAUGGCAUUGACCAGAAGCCCAGGCAAAAUGCAAAUAGUAACAAAAUGCAAAUGGCAAGAACAGGUUUAAUUAAAGUCCUUUGAGAAUUCACAGAAGGAGCAUGGUACUUUCAGUUGGAGGGAGGCAAAUGGGGAUCAGAUUAAUGGAAGGGGUGACAUUUGAUGUGGUUCUUGAAAAGAGGGUGGGAUUUUCAAAGGCAUACUGGGAGAGAUGGAGGGCAUCCUGGGCAGAGGUAAGAGCCUGAAGAAAGAAGAAGAGGCAGGACACACAAGAGCCAUGAAGAAGAAUCGCUUUGUUUGGCUGGAACUUAGGGAUGUAUGAGUGGAAGACACAGAAAAUGAAGCUGGAAAUGAGCUCAGAGACAGAUAUCGAAGAGCCCUAAAUGCUUGGCUAAGGGUUUGAAUUUCUGUUGCUGAACAGAGGAAUGACACGCUCUGAGCAGCAGGGUAAGAAAAUCCCUCUAGCAGUACUUGAAGGCUGAAUUAAAGUGGGGGACAGCUUUUCCCGGUAGGAAGGUCAGGGAGUGCAACAGUGAUGGGGAGGAUAAGAGGAAGAGAGUACUGGAAGAUGAGAUAUGUCAGAGGCAGGGACCCGACCUGAGUUUCUAAGUGGAUGGUGGGCCGUCAAUUGCAAGAGGGAACCCAGGGAGAGGAGCCUGCUUGGGUGAAAGCACACUGAGAUCGGCUUUUGUCCAUUUGAGUUUGAGGAGCCUGUGAGGCACCCAGGUGGGGUGCCCAGGAGGCAGGUGGCUGUAUGUGUCAAUCACUGGAGGUGCUAGUCUAGCGUGUCUUAACACAUCCCAUCGCAGACCCAGUGGAGGCCUCGCAGACUAUCCAUUGCAGCCCCAUCAUCCCCACAUCAGCCCCGGCAACACUCCAGCUUCCAAUUCAUUGACCCCCUUAAUGUCGCUGACUUUCCAAGACCCACCCACAGGGCUACUCCCUGUGCUUCCUCAUCUCUGGGACCCUCCUCUUUCUGACAUCAUAACUCCUAGGAUUCCCUCUGUAGUCUAACCGUCCCACUUCUCAAACCCUCAGUUCCACAGAGGCCUCCUCAGCACACUUCCUCCCUCAACCUCUCCAUUUUCUCCCCUUCUUUGGGCUCCCUCGUGCCCGUUUUUCAUUCCUCCCCAGCUUUUACUCCAUGGGGGACUAUCUAAGCCAUUCUUUCUCCAACGUCCUGAUUCCCUUGCACCUCUAACCCUGCACUACAUGCAGCUGGCAAACCUCCAUCGCUCCAUCGAUGCAAAAUCCCACCUUCUUCUCUGCUCCUGUGCUAGAUUGCUGAGCAGGAGAAAAUCACGCAGCUGCACUGGUUAGGUCUGCUAAAAAUGCAUGGUCUUUUCUCAUCGAGCUACCCGUGUCGUUGUCAAAACUUUCUGCUUGUCCUUUUUCAGCUCUCUUUCCCAUUCCAUUUCCCCUCUCCUUGCUCCACAAAUUGUCCCCUCUUUUUCCUGCACCUUUAACCUCCUCUUCUCAACGGGCUUCUGGCUCAGAUCUCUUUCACUUCAG
ensembl:lncRNA